rnacentral:rRNA from 1 species
ACGAACGCUGGCGGCAGGCUUAACACAUGCAAGUCGAACGAUGUAGCAAUACAUAGUGGCGCACGGGUGAGUAACGCGUGGGAAUAUACCGAGAAGUGGGGAAUAACUUUGGGAAACUAAAGCUAAUACCGCAUACGCCCGAGAGGGGAAAGAUUUAUCGCUUUUCGAUUAGCCCGCGUGAGAUUAGGUAGUUGGUGGGGUAAUGGCCUACCAAGCCGACGAUCUCUAGCUGGUCUGAGAGGAUGAUCAGCCACACUGGAACUGAGACACGGUCCAGACUCCUACGGGAGGCAGCAGUGGGGAAUAUUGGGCAAUGGACGAAAGUCUGACCCAGCCAUGCCGCGUGAAUGAUGAAGGCUUUAGGGUUGUAAAGUUCUUUCACCGAUGAAGAUAAUGACGGUAGUCGGAGAAGAAGCCCCGGCUAACUUCGUGCCAGCAGCCGCGGUAAUACGAAGGGGGCUAGCGUUGUUCGGAAUUACUGGGCGUAAAGCGAGCGUAGGUUGCUCAACAAGUCAGUGGUGAAAGCCCAGAGCUUAACUCUGGAACUGCCAUUGAAACUGUUGAGCUGGAAUCUCAGAGGGGGUAGCGGAAUUCCAAAUGUAGGGGUGAAAUCCGUAGAUAUUUGGAGGAACACCGGUGGCGAAGGCGGCUACCUGGAUGAGUAUUGACACUGAGGCUCGAAAGCGUGGGGAUCAAACAGGAUUAGAUACCCUGGUAGUCCACGCUGUAAACGAUGGAUGCUAGUUGUUGGAAGGUUCCCUUUCAGUGACGUAGCUAACGCGUUAAGCAUCCCGCCUGGGGAGUACGGUCGCAAGAUUAAAACUCAAAGAAAUUGACGGGGACCCGCACAAGCGGUGGAGCAUGUGGUUUAAUUCGAGGCAACGCGAAGAACCUUACCAGGCCUUGACAUGUCCAGUUUGAUCGUCAGAGAUGACUUUCUUCACCUCGGGUGGCUGGAACACAGGUGCUGCAUGGCUGUCGUCAGCUCGUGUCGUGAGAUGUUGGGUUAAGUCCCGCAACGAGCGCAACCCUCGUCCUUAGUUGCUAACAUUUAGUUGAGAACUCUAAGGAAACUGCCUGUGAUAAGCAGGAGGAAGGUGGGGACGACGUCAAGUCAUCAUGGCCCUUACGGCCUGGGCUACACACGUGCUACAAUGGUUGCUACAAUGGGCAGCGAUCCCGCGAGGGCUAGCUAAUCCCCAAAAGCAAUUUCAGUUCGGAUUGUACUCUGCAACUCGAGUACAUGAAGUUGGAAUCGCUAGUAAUCGUAGAUCAGCAUGCUACGGUGAAUACGUUCCCGGGUCUUGUACACACCGCCCGUCACACCAUGGGAGUUGUUUCUGCCUCAAGUCGGUGAGCCAAUCUGGCAGCCGCCCGCGGCAGGGAUGAUGACUGGGGUG